rnacentral:rRNA from 1 species
GGGAUUACCUCAGUAACGGCGAGUGAAGCGGUAACAGCUCAAAUUUGAAAGCUAGCUCUUUUAGGGUUCGCAUUGUAAUUUGUAGAAGAUGCUUCGGGUGUGGCCCCGGUCUAAGUUCCUUGGAACAGGACGUCAUAGAGGGUGAGAAUCCCGUAUGUGACUGGGUGCUUUCGCUCAUGUGAAGCUCUUUCGACGAGUCGAGUUGUUUGGGAAUGCAGCUCAAAAUGGGUGGUAAAUUUCAUCUAAAGCUAAAUAUUGGCCAGAGACCGAUAGCGCACAAGUAGAGUGAUCGAAAGAUGAAAAGCACUUUGGAAAGAGAGUUAAACAGUACGUGAAAUUGUUGAAAGGGAAGCGCUUGCAACCAGACUUGCGCGCUGAUGAUCAUCCGGGCUUCUGUCCGGUGCACUCGUCUGCGCUCAGGCCAGCAUCGGUUUCGGUGGUGGGAUAAAGGCCUUGGGAAUGUAGCUCCUCUCGGGGAGUGUUAUAGCCCUCGGUGCAAUGCCGCCUAUCGGGACCGAGGACCGCGCUUCGGCUAGGAUGCUGGCGUAAUGGUUGUAAGCGACCCGUCUUGAAACACGGACCAAGGAGUCUAACAUCUAUGCGAGUGUUUGGGUGUCAAACCCAUACGCGUAAUGAAAGUGAACGGAGGUGAGAACCCUUAAGGGUGCAUCAUCGACCGGUCCUGAUGUCUUCGGAUGGAUCUGAGUAAGAGCAUAGCUGUUGGGACCCGAAAGAUGGUGAACUAUGCGUGAAUAGGGUGAAGCCAGAGGAAACUCUGGUGGAGGCUCGCAGCGGUUCUGACGUGCAAAUCGAUCGUCAAAUUUGCGUAUAGGGGCGAAGACUAAUCGAA